rnacentral:lncRNA from 1 species
CAGGCGCAUCAAACCACCUGUAAAUUUAAAGUAGAGGAAGUAACAUUUGGCUGAAUAGAAUUCAGAUCAAUCAAAACUUGAUAUUUGGAGCACUUAGCCAUUUAAGUAGAUGAAGUUACAGUUUCCAUUUUCUUACCCACAACAACAGUUUUGGCUUCAGUGAGUUUCAGUUGUUCCAAAGCUUUUACCUAGUUAGAUCAAAGAAAAACAGUUGACGAGUAAUCAUGUUCUCGGUAAGUAAGUAGUUCUUCGGGAAAUUAGUAAAUAUAGAACAAAACAACAAGUAUAUUGUCCCUUUACCAUAAUUUGAAGUAUAAAUUGUCCAUUUAGUAUCAUCUUUUGUAUAAACCCAAUUAAACCCCU